GACGAACGCUGGCGGCGUGCUUAACACAUGCAAGUCGAACGGAAAGGCCCUGCUUUUGUGGGGUGCUCGAGUGGGAAACGGGUUGGUAACCGGUGGGUAACCUCCCCUUUACUUUGGGAUACCUUCAGGAAACUGGGGCUAAUACCGGAUAGAAGCUCCUGUUGCAGGUUGGGGGUGGUAAGGUUUCGGCGGUUGGGGAUGGACUCGCGGCUUAUCAGCUUGUUGGUGGGGUAGUGGCUUACCAAGGCUUUGACGGGUAGCCGGCCUGAGAGGGUGACCGGCCACAUUGGGACUGAGAUACGGCCCAGACUCCUACGGGAGGCAGCAGUGGGGAAUAUUGCACAAUGGGCGGAAGCCUGAUGCAGCAACGCCGCGUGCGGGAUGACGGCCUUCGGGUUGUAAACCGCUUUCGCCUGUGACGAAGCGUGAGUGACGGUAAUGGGUAAAGAAGCACCGGCUAACUACGUG
rnacentral:rRNA from 1 species